AUCGCUUCUCGGCCUUUUGGCUAAGAUCAAGUGUAGUAUCUGUUCUUAUCAGCUUAAUCGUCGACCGAAGAACAAUUCCAAGCAAGUUUCAAGCAAGUUUUUGGCAGCAAGAAGAAGACCUGCGUGCUGGUAAGUGGCUUCCUGGCCUUCCUCUCAAAGAGGAUAUGUUCUGGGCUUGAGGAUCUUCAA